AGGAGCCGUGUGAGAUGAAAGUCUCAUGCACGGUUUUGAAUGAGAGAAAGAAGUGAGGAAUCCUCCUUUUGAAUCUGACUCUCC
rfam:Capsicum annuum cultivar Zunla-1 chromosome 2, whole genome shotgun sequence